rnacentral:rRNA from 1 species
AUUGAACGCUGGCGGCAGGCUUAACACAUGCAAGUCGAGCGGGGGAGAUUGCUUCGGUAAUUGACCUAGCGGCGGACGGGUGAGUAAUACUUAGGAAUCUGCCUAUUAAUGGGGGACAACAUCUCGAAAGGGAUGCUAAUACCGCAUACGUCCUACGGGAGAAAGCAGGGGAUCUUCGGACCUUGCGCUAAUAGAUGAGCCUAAGUCGGAUUAGCUAGUUGGUGGGGUAAAGGCCUACCAAGGCGACGAUCUGUAGCGGGUCUGAGAGGAUGAUCCGCCACACUGGGACUGAGACACGGCCCAGACUCCUACGGGAGGCAGCAGUGGGGAAUAUUGGACAAUGGGCGGAAGCCUGAUCCAGCCAUGCCGCGUGUGUGAAGAAGGCCUUUUGGUUGUAAAGCACUUUAAGCGAGGAGGAGGCUACCUAGAUUAAUACUCUGGGAUAGUGGACGUUACUCGCAGAAUAAGCACCGGCUAACUCUGUGCCAGCCGCCGCGGUAAAAC